GUUUCUCUGGUGCUGGUUACAGUAGCUAAGAGGGUGGAACGGCAGGACAAUUUGUCACACAAACAAAUUUAAAUGUGGACCGAGGGGUUUGCCCACCUUAUGAUGAGUGGUUGACUUGUGGCCAAAAACACAAAACAAAAACAAAAACAAGAGGUGGGGUUGAUGAGGUCUGGGGGACAAGAGUUGCAGUUUCGAAACAGAGUGGAGGCUCCUUUAAUCUUGACAGCCCGAAUGCUACAGGGGUCACAGCACAUCUGCUCCGGAGGAAAGACAAAGGGCAAGGUGGGGCCACGGUAGCCCGCGCGGGGCUCUUGGCGGGCUGGGGGCGGCGUGCGCCGAGCUGGGCGCGAGUGGAGGGGCCGGCGGCUUUGUGCGCCCCCGCCAGUGCCCGCCCGCAGCCCCGCCGCAGCGUUUAACCUUGACUUCUCCCUCCUCGCUUCUGGCACGGGAGGAAAGCCUGUCCAGAUGGGCGUCCUGAGUGUGACGACGUCCCCUCCCGCCCCCGCGCUCUCGCGCAGAUGUCGCACGCUGCCCUGGGUCCCGCCACACCGCCCACCAAGGCCGCGGGCCCUGCGCGCCCGGGGCAGGCGGGCACAUCCCGCACCCUCUCCGCCCGCCCGCCCCCGGCGCCCUUCGCAUUCCCUUCUUCGGCCCUGGCCCCUCGGACCGGAGCGCCCAGGCCAGCUCAGGGUGUUCCCGUGGGGGUCUCCGGAAACAAUGUAGAGACGGGGUUUCACCGUGUUAGCCAGAACGGUCUUGAUCUCCUGACCUCAUGAUCUGCCCGCCUCGGUCUCCCAAAGUGCUGGGAUUACAGGUAGAGGACCUUUGGAGAUGUGAAUGAAAACAGCUGUCUGAACAAGUGGUACCCUAACUAGCGCGGCUGAAUGAGUCCCUGGCUGCCUUUCUGGGAAGGGAAUGGCUUCCUGUGGUGAUGAACGAAGCCAGCCAAGUGCAGGUCGAGGCAUGCUCUCCACCCUCCCUAGAAGCUGUGCCACCAACGAAAGCUUUUCCCUGCACCUGUAGUAGAGGUUUGCUGAGCAUCUCACCCAGUGUCAGCUGAGUUGCAG
rnacentral:lncRNA from 1 species